UGUAAAAGAAAAGGUCUUCAAAAGAACUGCGGUUUUGUGCGGUUUCCGUGUUUCACCCUUUACAAAUUACACAUCGAAGGCGCUACAUACUUGUACUCUAUGAUCUCUAUCUCUAUGUACUAGGUUGUUGAGAAAUCUCAAAUCAAACGUCAAAAUAUAUGAAAUUCAGAUAAACCACGUCAGGCAUGACCCAAAAGCCAAAAGGAAGAGUUUACCGCUGCUGCCUGACUGUGCUGUGGUGUAAGAGUCUAUACAAGGUCCGAUGAGUACCACGCUACAUUCUACUUAUUGCAAGAGCAAUCAUACAGGACACUAGUGAAGGUGGCCUCAUCUUCAAGGAUUUAUUUCAUCACUUGAGUAACACUUGUUUACUUCUGACAAGCACAGGGAUGUAGGCAGCGUCUUUCCCUGCAUCACAAUUCACAGGUGCUUAUAUGCGUUCAGGUGAAUAUGCUACAUAACUUGCAGAAUACCAUCUUUGUUAAUCAUACUGACUUAUGCUUCUGGUAUCAACUAUGCCAUAAUUGUGUUUUGCUUAUAUUCGUAUCAACUUGCUGAACCUAUUUGCUAUAAGCUUUUAUUAUGACGAUAUUAAGUUUUUGUUCAAACUAGAGGUCAACAAGAUUGUAUAUGGUUGAGCAUCCAUGUAAUCAUGAGUAUAGAUGCUUUAACUUGCACGAUGCUUUCUUAUUAAUUGAG